GCUGGGUGUGGUGGCGCAUGCCUGUAAUCCUAGCUACUCAGGAGGCUGAGGCAGGAGAAUUGCUUGAGCCCAGGAGGCAGAGGUUGCAGUGAGGCAAGAUUGCACCACUGCACUCCAGCCUGGGCAACAGAGUGAGACUCCAUCUCAA
rnacentral:SRP_RNA from 1 species